rnacentral:rRNA from 1 species
AAAUUGAAGAGUUUGAUCAUGGCUCAGAUUGAACGCUGGCGGCAGGCCUAACACAUGCAAGUCGAGCGGAAACGAGUUAUCUGAGCCUUCGGGGGACGAUAACGGCGUCGAGCGGCGGACGGGUGAGUAAUGCCUAGGAAAUUGCCCUGAUGUGGGGGAUAACCAUUGGAAACGAUGGCUAAUACCGCAUGAUGCCUACGGGCCAAAGAGGG